UCUUUUGGUGAACCAUUUAACCUGGCUGCUGUGUUUGGUUAAACUAUGUAUGAUGCACCUACGUAUUUAAACAAGGUAACCCAUGCCAAACCACACACCAUCAGCGAUUAGAUUCCAUGAAGGAUAAAAUCUAGCUGUAGUAUUACAACUUUGAUGAGUCAACUGCUUCUUGCUGAUACAUAUCAAGUGGUUAAAGGAACAAAUAUCUGUUUUAUAGAUGGAGGAAUGGAUGGCUUGGGGGCAGGAGUGUAGAGGACUCUCCAGUGUUGAGAGACACUUCUGUGCAGAUGCUGCAAAGAAAUCCAACAGUGCAUAUUGGUUUCAAGGGAUAUAUAUGUGCUGUUCACCUUCCCUUUUAAUUUAAACUUAUUUAACCUGCUAUAAGAUGUUCUCCCUGCUUUAAUAGAUCUUGUUUUUCUAGCAAUUACUGUCAUUUAGGUAAUAUCACACAGAUGUGCUCAAGGAACACAAACUUGUAAGAAACACCGCAGAAUUUCUGGCACUAUUUCUUUCAUUCAGUCUAAUUUCAGAGGCAGAAGGAGCCAGCUGGCUGAAUUGUCUUGAAGGCGGACACAGGAAAAGCAGCCGAUAGACUGAAAUACAGAUGAAAUCACCUUUAAGCACAAAGAAGAACUUACUGCCAAUCAGGAGAUAGAUAACAUACAGGUGGAUGUGUGUGUACAUACAGACAGCACCUCAUGAGAUUAACUGCCCUGAGGAAAUGCUCUCUCCAUGGAAACUUUGCCCAAGAAAACAUGUUUUGUCUUGUACCUACUAUACUAAUAUCUGCAUGACAUUCACUGUCAUAGGAACAUGAACUCCUACAGAGAUGAAGACUACAUCUAAUUGACAGUGAGAGAAUUGUUCUUGCAAGCAAAGUUAGAAAACAAAGUACUGAACUCAAUUUGG